ensembl:lncRNA
CCCCCCCCCCCCCCCCCCCCCCCCCCCCCCCCCCCCCCCCCCCCCCCCCCCCCCCCCCCCCCCCCCCCCCCCCCCCCCCCCCCGCCUCACCGAGCUCCCACCCUGCCCCAGUUAGGAAAUCCCAGGAAAUUCCUGGAAUUCAGCUUUUUCCUCCCCGCAAAUCCAUGGAAACGCUUGGCUUCAGUGCGAUUUUCCCAAAUUUUUUGGUGUUUACGGCAUAAACUUCACCCCAAAAUGCAGGGAAAUGUGUUUUUUCAGCUGUUUUUUCCUUUUUCCCCCCCAAAAAAUCCAACAACACCCAGAACCCUUGGGUUUCAAGGAUUUUUCCCUCGUAUUUUCUUGGUUUAGUGGUGUAACCUCCAUCCCUGUCUGGAACAACGCUGGGAAAUCUGGUGGGAUUUCCUGUUUUCUCCCAAAAAACUCCUCAAGUGCCGCUGCAAAAUCCACAAAAAUUGCUGCCUUUGUUGGGCUUUUUUCCCAGUUUUUCAUAUUUUCACAGCAGAACCUUCACCCCUUUCCAAAACAAAAAACAAAAAACAAAAACAAAAAAAAAGGGGCCUUUUCCAGCUAAAUUUCCCAUUUUUCUCCCCAAAAAAACCUCCAGCAGCCAAAUCCGUGUCCCCUUCUCGGCCUGGCUCACCCGGGAAUUCUGUGCCGGACUCGAGCGCUGCCGCCGAGCUCCCAGCCUGCCCAAAUUAGGGAUGGGGGAACUCCUGGAAUUCAGCUUUUUUUCAGCCCCACGAAUUCAUGGAAACGCUUGGCUUCGGCGCGGUUUUCCCGUAUUUUCGGCAUUUACGGCAUAAACUUCACCCCAGAAUGCAGGGAAAAGUCGUUUUCAGGCUCUGUUUCCUUUUUUCCCCCCAAAACUCCAGUGACACCGCGAAACCCCGGAAAUCCCUUGGGUUUCAUCCAGCAACGCUCAGCACCCUUGGGUUUUGGGGAUUUUCUCCUCAUAGUUUUUGGUCUAGCGGCGUAACCUCCAUCCCUGUCUUUGACAACGCUGGGAAAUCUGACGGAAUUUCCUGUUUUCUCCCAAAAAACCCCUCAAGCACCGCUGCAAAAUCCACAAAAAUUCCUGCGUUCGUUGGGAUUUUUUUUCCCCGAUUUUCCACAUUUUCACGGCAGAACCUUCACCCCCCUGCAAAACUGGAAAAAAAAAUGGGGCCUUUUCCAUUUCAAUUUCCUGUUUUUCUCCCCAAAAAAAAACCUCCAGCAGCAACGUGGAGUCCAGGAAAAUCACUCGGGUUUGGUUUUUCUCCCGUAUUUUUGGGUUUUGUGGCAGAACCUUCAGCCCUGUCUGAAACCACCAGGAAAACGUGGCGUUUUCCAUUUGGAUUUCCCACAAAACUGGAAAAAAAAUGGGGCCUUUUCCAUUUCAAUUUCCUGUUUUUCUCCCCAAAAAAAAACCUCCAGCAGCAACGUGGAGUCCAGGAAAAUCACUCGGGUUUGGUUUUUCUCCCGUAUUUUUGGGUUUUGUGGCAGAACCUUCAGCCCUGUCUGAAACCACCAGGAAAAUGUGGCGUUUUCCAUUUGGAUUUCCCAUUUUCUGCCAAAAAAAAUGGAUUUUGGAAGUGAAUGGGUAAGGAAAAAUGGGAAAAAACCCAAAA